UUCAAACUUUGAACUCAACUACCGCCGCCGGUUACGUUUCAGUUUAGCUAGAACUCAUCAACCGAAUGGAUCUAUCGCGGAAAACGUGAAGAACAAUACAAUUAAGGUCACCGACAGCAGCUCGUUCGGAAGAAUAGUCGAACAACCUACUCAUAGUUUAGAGGCGCAACUUGUAAUCUCACAUUGUUUUGAAAUUUAAGCGGAACCAAGGCAUGAGGUGAUAUGUGCCGUAUUCUUAUCAAUGAUCACCAUAUGACGAAAGUGAAGUGAAACGACAAUUCCAACAACCCCGGUCGUCGGUAAUCGAAGACUUAUUUGUAUGUGCCUGCUUUUAGUGAACUGUGUAGAAGCGGAGAAGAAGUUGUAAUCUUCCUCGAGUGAAGUGUAAUGGUUCAGCACAUCUUACCGCCGUGGUGGUCAACGGUGGCAUUACAUACGGCCCCAGUAGAUUAGUGGUGUGCGUUCAGGAAGGACCUCUUUCAGUGUUGCUGCGUAAACGAACGCGGACGGACCGCGUGGUGAUCUCGACAUUUUCAAAUCGGUCUAUUCUACAAUCGACAAGUAGAAACUGCAGAGCACAAGCAUUCACGAUGCUGGGAAUCAAAUAUCUCAACGAAGCCCACCUGAAGGGCUUCGAACGGUACAAAUACAGCUGCGUCGACACCAGCAUACUCAGCGUCCAUGUGAUGCACCCAUUCUGGAACUGGCUGGUACAAUUCUGCCCCAGAUGGAUCGCCCCGAAUCUGCUCACAUUCUCCGGAUUCAUGCUCACGGUGAUCACUUUCUUCCUGAUAGGUUACUUCGACUUUGGAUUCACGGUUGCUACCAUAACUCCAAACCCAAUUCCCGGUUGGGUUUGGAUAGUGGCAGCAAUUAGCAUAUUUGUAGCAUAUACGUUAGAUGGUAUUGAUGGAAAGCAGGCCCGGCGAACGGGAACCAGCGGACCGCUAGGUGAACUGUUCGAUCACGGACUGGACUCGUACUCGACACUGUUGAUUCCGGUGUACGUUUUCAGUUUGUUCGGAAGAUUCGAUCUACCUCCAAUAAGGAUGCACUUUGUGAUGCUCAAUGCCUAUCUCAACUUCUAUCUUUCACACGUGGAAAAAUACAUCACGGGGGUUAUGUUCCUGCCAUGGGGCUACGAUUUUCUCAUGUGGGGUGUAUCGUUAACAUUGGGUGCAACCGGCAUUUUUGGACCGGAGAUCUGGCAAAACACCAUUUUUGGAAUUAAACCAUGUAUAAUCUUUGAGAUUACGUUAUACGUAUCGCCUAUGAUUACCAGCCAUCCCAUUAUUAUCCAUAAUAUAUACAAAUCAUAUCGUGAUAAAACGGGCAAUAUGCGUCCAUUUAAAGAAGCAGUUCGACCUAUGAUUCCACUGAUUUCUCUAUUUGUCGUGAGCACAAUCUGGGGCUUGUAUUCGCGAAACAGUAUUGUUAAUCUGGAGCCGAGGAUGUUUAUCAUUCUCAGCGGAACAGUUUUCUCCAACAUCAAUUGCCGAGUGAUCGUAGCCCAGAUGACCGACACGAGAGCGGAUCUGUGGAACGGACUGCUCAAUCUGCUGACGGCAGCUACUGCCGUUUGCAUCUUUCCCUACACGGCCGUGGGACUGCCCGAACUCUGGAUCGAGUACGAACGGAACAUCCUGUACGCACUGGUGCUGGUCGUCACGAUCGCCCACCUGCACUACGGCCAGGGAGUGGUACGGGAAAUGUGUUCCCAUUUCCGGAUCCGGUGUUUCAAAAUACCAGCAUACGGUAAAUCAUCAGCAUUACUAGGCCACUAAAACUCGAAUCUCAAAUCCUACAUUGACGCGUUCGUCCGAACGUCACGAUGGUAUACCUACCGCGUUACGCCCACCACCGUCACGUCCGUCGUCACAAGGUAAAUGUAUGUAUAGACCAACUGCAUGCAUGCGAACGAAAAGCGGAUCUCAAAUAUCACCAUCACUAAAAGCAAAUUUGAGAGCGUACUUUUCGAUUGAACAUAAACCUACUACUACAACUACUACCAUCAUCAUCGCCCACCACAACCGAAAAAAAAGCUAAAAAUUAUAACAACACCUGCUACUGCUGCUGCUGUAGCUACUACCAACGGAGGACCUACUAACGACGAAAUGGUUGAGAUUGCACUGUAGAAACGC